rnacentral:rRNA from 1 species
GAUGAACGCUGGCGGCGUGCCUAAUACAUGCAAGUCGAGCGAACGGACGAGAAGCUUGCUUCUCUGAUGUUAGCGGCGGACGGGUGAGUAACACGUGGUUAACCUACCUAUAAGACUGGGAUAACUUCGGGAAACCGGAGCUAAUACCGGAUAAUAUUUUGAACCGCAUGGUUCAAAAGUGAAAGACGGUCUUGCUGUCACUUAUAGAUGGAUCCGCGCUGCAUUAGCUAGUUGGUAAGGUAACGGCUUACCAAGGCAACGAUGCAUAGCCGACCUGAGAGGGUGAUCGGCCACACUGGAACUGAGACACGGUCCAGACUCCUACGGGAGGCAUCAGUAGGGAAUCUUCCGCAAUGGGCGAAAGCCUGACGGAGCAACGCCGCGUGAGUGAUGAAGGUCUUCGGAUCGUAAAACUCUGUUAUUAGGGAAGAACAUAUGUGUAAGUAACUGUGCACAUCUUGACGGUACCUAAUCAGAAAGCCACGGCUAACUACGUG